rnacentral:snoRNA from 1 species
UUGCAUGUGGAAAUAUCUGCUCCUCAUUUCUUUAGGAGCAAGAAUACAUCCAUAACAUGCUACAUUGAAAGGAGUUUUCAGGGCUGCCAACCUUACAGUAGAGGUUGAGUAGUAGUAUGUUUCUCCUACACAA